GAUGAACGCUAGCGGCAGGCCUAAUACAUGCAAGUCGAACGGUGUCUUCGGACAUAGUGGCGCACGGGUGCGUAACACGUAUGCAACCUACCUUACAUUGGGGGAUAGCCUUUCGAAAGGGAGAUUAAUACCGCAUAAGACGGUAGCUGGGCAUCCAGCAGCUGUUAAAGAUUUAUCGAUGUAAGCUGGGCAUGCGUCCAAUUAGCUAGUUGGUGAGGUAACGGCUCACCAAGGCGAUGAUUGGUAGGGGAACUGAGAGGUCAAUCCCCCACACUGGCACUGAGAUACGGGCCAGACUCCUACGGGAGGCAGCAGUAGGGAAUAUUGGGCAAUGGACGCAAGUCUGACCCAGCCAUGCCGCGUGCAGGAUGAAGGCGUUAUGCGUUGUAAACUGCUUUUAUACAGGAAGAAACGACUCUUGCGAGAGGCAUUGACGGUACUGUAUGAAUAAGCACCGGCUAACUCCGUGCCAGCCGCCGCGGUAAGAC
rnacentral:rRNA from 1 species